AUACGAAGGGAGCAAGCGUUGUUCGGAAUCACUGGGCGUAAAGCGUACGUAGGCGGAUUUUUAAGUCAGAAGUGAAAGCCCAGGGCUCAACCCUGGAACUGCUUUUGAAACUGGAAGUCUAGAGUCCCGGAGAGGUUAGGGGAAUUCCGAGUGUAGCAGUGAAAUGCGCAGAUAUUCGGAGGAACACCAGUGGCGUAGGCGCCUAACUGGACGGGAACUGACGCUGAGGUACGAAAGCGUGGGGAGCAAACGGGAUUAGAAACCCUUGUAGUCC
rnacentral:rRNA from 1 species